GUUGCCCUGCAAUGGACUGGCGUCCUGUCCAGAGUGUACCCCACCUCGUGCCCCAUGACUGCUGGGAUAAGCUCCAGCACCCCCCGUGAGCCUUUAUUUGAGCAAGCGGGUAUAGAAAAUGGAUGGAUGGAUGGAUAUUGUAGCCAGCACAUCACUUCGACACAACACUGUAGAAUAUGUUUUGGGAAAUACGUGCCUAAGGACAGGGCUAGCAGAGUCAUGGAUUGUUGCUGUUGUGUUUGAUGGGCCCAUUGAGCCAAUCUUCCCCCUCAAAAAGUACCAAGAAUCCUGCCCAUCUUGCUGUUCUCAGGCUUGCUGUAGAGUCACCUGACUGAGGAUGUAAAGGAGCCCCUUCAAAUUGAAGACAAAGGCAUGAAAGUGGAGGAAAAACCUGCGCCGUCUGCUGCUCAGCUAUGUGGAUUUUAUAGGUGAAAAUAAAAAAAGAAGAUACUAUUUUCAGCACAUAGUGUUUCAGAAUUCCAAUAGGAAGUGUAACAAAGAACCCCGUUGCUCCAGGAGCUUUAUUUUGGCCGUCGUAGAAAGACAGAAUGCUUGUUCUUUGUUACUUUUAUUUGCCCCAUUUCGUUUGUUCUUCAAAGUCAGAUCAGCUCAUGUGCACAAUUCCAGAACACAGUUCUCAGGAAAGCGGGGACAACAAGGACUUGGAGUGUCCUUGUUAUUUUACGCUGCAUGGCUGGGACAACCAAACCAUACAGUCAUGCAACUGUGAUCAGAUUAAAAUCGGGUUUUCGUAGAACUCCAAUAUACACAGCUGAAGGUUCCCCUAAAGGUCAAACUGAUCACAUGAUUCAGGUUCAAGCCCAUGCUUGCCAUUCUUUUCUUUUGUUUUAACUAAUGAAGAAAUCAUAGAGCUGUCUCAGUGACACACUUUUGUGCCGUGACUCUGAUGCUCGGUUUAGGGUGGAGUCCACCACAGUCUAGUGUAUAGUACCUCGAAACAGGACCACAGUGUCACAGGUCAUCACCAGUAUCAGGGAGGUGUUCACCUGUGAAGACUUUUUGUACAUACUUGCAUCUACAUUUUAUGUCACUUCCCAGAUUGUCUGCGUAAACGUAACAAUAAUGCACAAAUAAUCACGAGAAUACUUUAACAAAGUUUGGUAUGUAAGUCAAGUGUUUCAAUAAGUAAUCCAGUAAGCCACAGAGUUUAAAAUCACACAAGAGGAUUUACCAAUACACGUCAGUGACACAUUACAA